UACGUAGGUCCCGGGCGUUGUCCGGAUUUAUUGGGCGUAAAGCGAGCGCAGGUGGUUUAUUAAGUCUGGUGUAAAAGGCAGUGGCUCAACCAUUGUAUGCAUUGGAAACUGGUAAACUUGAGUGCAGGAGAGGAGAGUGGAAUUCCAUGUGUAGCGGUGAAAUGCGUAGAUAUAUGGAGGAACACCGGUGGCGAAAGCGGCUCUCUGGCCUGUAACUGACACUGAGGCUCGAAAGCGUGGGGAGCAAACAGG
rnacentral:rRNA from 1 species